UACGAAGGGGGCUAGCGUUGCUCGGAAUCACUGGGCGUAAAGGGUGCGUAGGCGGGUUUUUAAGUCAGGGGUGAAAUCCUGGAGCUCAACUCCAGAACUGCCUUUGAUACUGGAGAUCUUGAGUCCGGAAGAGGUAAGUGGAACUGCGAGUGUAGAGGUGAAAUUCGUAGAUAUUCGCAAGAACACCAGUGGCGAAGGCGGCUUACUGGUCCGGAACUGACGCUGAGGUGCGAAAGCG
rnacentral:rRNA from 1 species